AGAGUUUGAUCCUGGCUCAGGACGAACGCUGGCGGCGUGCCUAACACAUGCAAGUCGAACGGAAAACAUAGCAAUAUGUUUUUAGUGGCGAACGGGUGAGUAACGCGUAGACAACCAACCUUUUUGUGGGGGACAACACUUCGAAAGGAGUGCUAAUACCGCAUACGCUCUUGAUGCCGCCUAGUGUUAAGAGGAAAGGAGCUUUACGGCUUCGCAAAAAGACGGGUCUGCGUCUGAUUAGCUAGUUGGAGGGGUAACGGCCCACCAAGGCGACGAUCAGUAGCCGGUCUGAGAGGAUGGACGGCCACACUGGGACUGAGACACGGCCCAGACUCCUACGGGAGGCAGCAGUGGGGAAUCUUCCGCAAUGGACGAAAGUCUGACGGAGCGACGCCGCGUGAGUGAUGAAGGCCCUUGGGUCGUAAAGCUCUGUCAUCGGGGACGAACGGUCACGUC
rnacentral:rRNA from 1 species